rnacentral:tRNA from 1 species
GGAGAUAUAGCUCAGUUGUAGGGCAUAUGCCUGACAUGCACAAGGCCCUGGGUUCAAUCCCCCUAGCCCCC